UACGUAGGGUGCAAGCGUUAAUCGGAAUUGCUGGGCGUAAAGCGUGCGCAGGCGGUGAUGUAAGACAGAUGUGAAAUCCCCGGGCUCAACCUGGGAACUGCAUUUGUGACUGCAUCGCUGGAGUGCGGCAGAGGGGGGUGGAAUUCCGCGUGUAGCAGUGAAAUGCGUAGAUAUGCGGAGGAACACCGAUGGCGAAGGCAAUCCCCUGGGCCCGCACUGACGCUCAUGCACGAAAGCGUGGGGAGCAAACAGG
rnacentral:rRNA from 1 species